AAGGGGAACAGCUACUGCAGG
rnacentral:misc_RNA from 1 species